rnacentral:rRNA from 1 species
AUACGGAGGAUCCGAGCGUUAUCCGGAUUUAUUGGGUUUAAAGGGUGUGCAGGCGGCCAUUUAAGUCAGCGGUUAAAUCGUGGGGCUCAACCCCAUUCUGCCGUUGAUACUGGGUGGCUUGAUUGCGGUCGAGGUUGGCGGAAUUCGUUGUGUAGCGGUGAAAUGCAUAGAUAUGACGAAGAACACCGAUUGCGUAGGCAGCUGACCAGACCGCAAAUGACGCUCAUGCACGAAAGUGCGGGGAUCGAACAGGAUUAGAUACCCUGGUAGUCCGCACAGUAAACGAUGAAUACUUGUUUUCGGCGAUAUAAUGUCGGAGGCAAAGCGAAAGCGAUAAGUAUUCCACCUGGGGAGUACGCCGGCAACGGUGAAACUCAAAGGAAUUGACGGGG